rnacentral:rRNA from 1 species
GUGGGGAAUUUUGGACAAUGGGCGCAAGCCUGAUCCAGCAAUGCCGCGUGCAGGAAGAAGGCCUUCGGGUUGUAAACUGCUUUUGUACGGAAAGAAACGGUCCGGGUUAAUACCCUGGGCUAAUGACGGUACCGUAAGAAUAAGCACCGGCUAACUACGUGCCAGCAGCCGCGGUAAUACGUAGGGUGCAAGCGUUAAUCGGAAUUACUGGGCGUAAAGCGUGCGCAGGCGGUUUUGUAAGACAGGCGUGAAAUCCCCGGGCUCAACCUGGGAAUUGCGCUUGUGACUGUAAGGCUGGAGUGCGGCAGAGGGGGAUGGAAUUCCGCGUGUAGCAGUGAAAUGCGUAGAUAUGCGGAGGAACACCGAUGGCGAAGGCAAUCCCCUGGGCCUGCACUGACGCUCAUGCACGAAAGCGUGGGGAGCAAACAGGAUUAGAAACCCGGGUAGUCC